rnacentral:rRNA from 1 species
UACGGGGGGGGCAAGCGUUGUUCGGAAUUACUGGGCGUAAAGGGCUCGUAGGUGGCCAACUAAGUCAGACGUGAAAUCCCCAGGCUCAACUUGGGAACUGCGUCUGAUACUGGAUGGCUUGAAUUCGGGAGAGGGAUGCAGAAUUCCAGGUGUAGCGGUGAAAUGCGUAGAUAUCUGGAGGAAUACCGGUGGCGAAGGCGGCAUCCUGGACCGACAUUGACGCUGAUGAGCGAAAGCCAGGGGAGCAAACGGG